UAGGGAAUCUUCGGCAAUGGACGAAAGUCUGACCGAGCAACGCCGCGUGAGUGAAGAAGGUUUUCGGAUCGUAAAACUCUGUUGUUAGAGAAGAACAAGGACGUUAGUAACUGAACGUCCCCUGACGGUAUCUAACCAGAAAGCCACGGCUAACUACGUGCCAGCAGCCGCGGUAAUACGUAGGCGGCAAGCGUUGUCCGGAUUUAUUGGGCGUAAAGCGAGCGCAGGCGGUUUCUUAAGUCUGAUGUGAAAGCCCCCGGCUCAACCGGGGAGGGUCAUUUGAAACUGUGAGACUUGAGUGCAGAAGAGGAGAGUUGAAUUCCAUGUGUAGCGGUGAAAUGCGUAGAUAUAUGGAGGAACACCAGUGGCGAAGGCGGCUCUCUGGUCUGUAACUAACGCUGAGGCUCGAAAGCGUGGGGAGCAAACAGG
rnacentral:rRNA from 1 species